CUGCAUGGUUGUCGUCAGCUCGUGCCGUGAGAUGUUGGGUUAAGUCCCGUAACGAGCGCAACCCUCGCCCUUAGUUGCCAGCAUUAGUUGGGCACUCUAAGGGGACUGCCGGUGAUAAGCCGAGAGGAAGGUGGGGAUGACGUCAAGUCCUCAUGGCCCUUACGGGCUGGGCUACACACGUGCUACAAUGGUGGUGACAGUGGGCAGCGAGCACGCGAGUGUGAGCUAAUCUCCAAAAGCCAUCUCAGUUCGGAUUGCACUCUGCAACUCGAGUGCAUGAAGUUGGAAUCGCUAGUAAUCGCGGAUCAGCAUGCCGCGGUGAAUACGUUCCCGGGCCUU
rnacentral:rRNA from 1 species